AUUGAACGCUGGCGGCAGGCCUAACACAUGCAAGUCGAACGAGUGGCGGACGGGUGAGUAAUGUCUGGGAAACUGCCUGAUGGAGGGGGGUAACUAGUGGAAACGGUAGCUAAUACCGCAUACCAUCGGAUGUGCCCAGAUGGGAUUAGCUAGUAGGCGGGGUAAAGGCUCACCUAGGCGACGAUCCCUAGCUGGUCUGAGAGGAUGACCGGCCACACUGGAACUGAGACACGGUCCAGACUCCUACGGGAGGCAGCAGUGGGGAAUAUUGCACAAUGGGCGCAAGCCGGAUGCAGCCAUGCCGCGUGUAUGAAGAAGGCCCUAGGGUUGUAAAGUCCUUUCAGUCGGGAGGCGUUACCGACCGAAGAAGCACCGGCUAACUCCGUGCCAGCAGCCGCGGUAAUUC
rnacentral:rRNA from 1 species